GACAGAGGGUGCAAACGUUGCUCGGAAUCACUGGGCGUAAAGGGCGUGUAGGCGGGACAGUAAGUCGGGCGUGAAAUCCCUGGGCUCAACCCAGGAACUGCACUCGAAACUACUAUUCUUGAGUGUCGGAGAGGAAAGCGGAAUUCCUGGUGUAGAGGUGAAAUUCGUAGAUAUCAGGAGGAACACCAGUGGCGAAGGCGGCUUUCUGGACGAUAACUGACGCUGAGACGCGAAAGCGUGGGGAGCAAACAG
rnacentral:rRNA from 1 species